AACGAACGCUGGCGGCAUGCCUAACACAUGCAAGUCGAACGAGACCUUCGGGUCUAGUGGCGCACGGGUGCGUAACGCGUGGGAACCUUCCCUUAGGUUCGGAAUAACUCCCCGAAAGGGGUGCUAAUACCGGUUAAUGUCUUCGGACCAAAGAUUUAUCGCCUUUGGUUGGGCCCGCGUUGGAUUAGCUAGUUGUUAGUGUAAAAGCAUACCAAGGCUACGAUCCUUAGCUGUUCUGAGAGGAUGAUCAGCCACACUGGGACUGAGACACGGCCCAGACUACUACGGGAGGGAGCAGUGGGGAAUAUUGGAAAAUGGGCGAAAGCCUGAUCCAGCAAUGCCGCGUGAGUGAUGAAGGCCUUAGGGUUGUAAAGCUCUUUUACCCGGGAUGAUAAUGACAGUACCGGGAGAAUAAGCUCCGGCUAACUCCGUG
rnacentral:rRNA from 1 species